AGUGGCGAACGGGUGAGUAAUAUAUCGGAACGUGCCCUAGAGUGGGGGAUAACGUAGCGAAAGUUACGCUAAUACCGCAUACGAUCUACGGAUGAAAGUGGGGGAUCGCAAGACCUCAUGCUCAUGGAGCGGCCGAUAUCUGAUUGGCUAGUUGAUGGGGUAAAAGCCUACCAAGGCGACGAUCAGUAGCUGGUCUGAGAGGACGACCAGCCACACUGGGACUGAGACACGGCCCAGACUCCUACGGGAGGCAGCAGUGGGGAAUUUUGGACAAUGGGGGCAACCCUGAUCCAGCAAUGCCGCGUGUGUGAAGAAGGCCUUCGGGUUGUAAAGCACUUUUGUCAGGAACGAAACGGUGGAGGCUAAUACCUUCUGCUAAUGACGGUACCUGAAGAAUAAGCACCGGUUAACUACGUGCCAGCAGCCGCGGUAAUACGUAGGGUGCGAGCGUUAAUCGGAAUUACUGGGCGUAAAGCGUGCGCAGGCGGUUGUGCAAGACAGAUGUGAAAUCCCCGGGCUCAACCUGGGAAUUGCAUUUGUGACUGCACGGCUAGAGUGUGUCAGAGGGGGGUAGAAUUCCACGUGUAGCAGUGAAAUGCGUAGAUAUGUGGAGGAAUACCGAUGGCGAAGGCAGCCCCCUGGGAUAACACUGACGCUCAUGCACGAAAGCGUGGGGAGCAAACAGGAUUAGAUACCCUGG
rnacentral:rRNA from 1 species